AGAUUGAACGCUGGCGGCAUGCCUAACACAUGCAAGUCGAACGGGAGUAGCAAUACUCUAGUGGCGGACGGGUGAGGAAUACGUAGGAAUUUGCCCUUAAGUGGGGGAUAACCCGGGGAAACCCGGAUUAAUACCGCAUGACCUCGAAAGAGCAAAGUGGGGGAUCGCAAGACCUCACGCUUUUGGAGAAGCCUACGUCGGAUUAGCUAGUUGGUGAGGUAAUGGCUCACCAAGGCGACGAUCCGUAACUGGUCUGAGAGGAUGAUCAGUCACACCGGAACUGAGACACGGUCCGGACUCCUACGGGAGGCAGCGAGUGGGGAAUAUUGGACAAUGGGCGCAAGCCUGAUCCAGCAAUGCCGCGUGUGGUGAAGGAAGGCCUUGGUUGUAAAGCAACUUUAAGUUGGGAAAGAAAAACUACGCUACUAACAC
rnacentral:rRNA from 1 species